AUCCGGGUUGCGGACAGUGUCUGGUGGGUAGUUUGACUGGGGCGGUCUCCUCCUAAAGAGUAACGGAGGAGCACGAAGGUUGGCUAAUCCUGGUCGGACAUCAGGAGGUUAGUGCAAUGGCAUAAGCCAGCUUGACUGCGAGCGUGACGGCGCGAGCAGGUGCGAAAGCAGGUCAUAGUGAUCCGGUGGUUCUGAAUGGAAGGGCCAUCGCUCAACGGAUAAAAGGUACUCCGGGGAUAACAGGCUGAUACCGCCCAAGAGUUCAUAUCGACGGCGGUGUUUGGCACCUCGAUGUCGGCUCAUCACAUCCUGGGGCUGAAGUAGGUCCCAAGGGUAUGGCUGUUCGCCAUUUAAAGUGGUACGCGAGCUGGGUUUAGAACGUCGUGAGACAGUUCGGUCCCUAUCUGCCGUGGGUGCUGGAGAACUGAGGGGGGCUGCUCCUAGUACGAGAGGACCGGAGUGGACGCAUCACUGGUGUUCGGGUUGUCAUGCCAAUGGCACUGCCCGGUAGCUAAAUGCGGAAGAGAUAAGUGCUGAAAGCAUCUAAGCACGAAACUUGCCCCGAGAUGAGUUCUCCCUGAGACUUAGAGUCUCCUGAAGGAACGUUGAAGACGACGACGUUGAUAGGCCGGGUGUGUAAGCGCAGCGAUGCGUUGAGCUAACCGGUACUAAUGAACCGUGAGGCUUAACCUUACAACGCCGAAG
rnacentral:rRNA from 1 species